UAUCCCCAUUUUUAUCGAAUUACAUCUAUCGGUGCAAGAAUACUUAUUAACACUCGACACUCGAUACUCGUGAGUAGGAAAACAAUACGUAGCUACUAUUAUAUUAUAGUUUUGUUUUACUGCCGUUUAAAAAUGUAUAACACAAUUAGAAUAAAUAAAACACAAUUUGUUUUUUGGUAUUAUAUUACGUGUUAUUUUAGUUAUUAAUAAUAAUGAUAGCUAUUUGAUUCGUUGAGAAUAUUAUGAAAGAGACACGCGAGUGUGUGUUACACGUAUCUAUCGUGUCUCGUUAUUCGGAAACCUCGUAAACUCACCGUUCUGUUAUGUUUUUGUCACACUAACCUAAAUUUAGAAGAAGAAGAAAUGUCAUUGUCGCCCGUUAUCAAUAUUUUAAAUUCAUAAUAGAAAUUGAGGUAAAAAUAAAAAUGCAGGUACCAUAGUAUUACGAAUCUGUCUUUACUCACGCGAAUUAAUGAUUUCAACGGAUUUCAUAUAAACUUGUCAGGUUUUUAUAUACGGGGAAGGGGUGAUCGCUUCACUCUCCCUUUCUUCUCCUAAAUCCUCCAUUUCAGUAAACUCAUUUAAUGAAUAUUUUGAUAAAAAUCCUGCUAUAACAUCAAUAAAUUCAAUUCAAGUAUAGAUAUUAUUUUCAUUUGUAUUUAUGAUCUAUAUAAUAAAAUUAAUUAAUAAACUAAUGUAUAUAAUAUAUUAGGUUGGUCCAAAAACCUUAAUUACAUAGUUCAAAAAAAAAAAAAAAACCGUAUGCUCACCCCUUCCCAUACUGAAAAUGAGUCAAAAUACAAAAAUCCGAUUGAUCGAAAUAAAAAUUGUAAUCAACCUAAUAUCGGUUUAAAAUAGUAUGUAACUAAGUUCCUGUUUAUCGUUGCCAGUCGGUCAUAUUAUGUGAACUGGACGACAUUUUUAUCGGUUGUGCCGUGCCGUACGAGUGUGAAUCUGGCUUUAAUCGAAAAUGAUGACCGAAAUUGUCAUAAAACCCUCACUAUCAUAGGAACCGUACAAUGAUUUUACAAACAUCUUUCCCGUUAGGAUAUCAUGCAGUUCUUCGGUGAUAUUUACUGCCAAUUAUAACAUAAGGAUGAUAAAAAAUGUUUUAAAAAUUUGUUAUAAAUAGUAAAGCUACCAAUCAUUAUUUAUACGUGCGAUUAUACGGACAAAUAUUGUCUUUUUAUUUGUAUCCAUAUAAAUACGCGUAUUUUAUCAUUUAAUGGAUAAUUAAGCUUUCGUUGUGUCGAAAUCGUGUUUACAUAACAAAGUAUACA